rnacentral:rRNA from 1 species
AUUGAACGCUGGCGGCAGGCCUAACACAUGCAAGUCGAGCGGACGAAGGGAGCUUGCUCCUGGAUUCAGCUGCGGACGGGUGAGUAAUUCCUAGGAAUCUGCCUGGUAGUGGGGGAUAACGUCCGGAAACGGGCGCUAAUACCGCAUACGUCCUGAGGGAGAAAGUGGGGGAUCUUCGGACCUCACGCUAUCAGAUGAGCCUAGGUCGGAUUAGCUAGUUGGUGGGGUAAAGGCCUACCAAGGCGACGAUCCGUAACUGGUCUGAGAGGAUGAUCAGUCACACUGGAACUGAGACACGGUCCAGACUCCUACGGGAGGCAGCAGUGGGGAAUCUUGGACAAUGGGCGAAAGCCUGAUCCAGCCAUGCCGCGUGUGUGAAGAAGGUCUUCGGAUUGUAAAGCACUUUAAGUUGGGAGGAAGGGCAGUAAGUUAAUACCUUGCUGUUUUGACGUUACCAACAGAAUAAGCACCGGCUAACUUCGUG